UAUUUUAGUUAUUAUUAUUAUUUUGAGGAAUAUUUAUAUUUUGGACUUAUUUAUUUUAUAUUUUGAGUCGAGCGUAAUUAUAAGCUCCGUGCCGGGUUUUCUUGUUGGUUCUUUCCCGGUAUGAUCGAGUCGAACCAAACCUAGGGUCCUUAGAUAUAUAAAUAGGGAUUCGAUGUAUUGAGAGAAGCAAUCAAUAUAUCAGAAAUUUCCUAAUCUUCUUGCAAUUACUUCUCUGUCAAGUUUUGUUCUCCACGGCCAAAACCUUGUUGGCGUGGGAAUUUCGGUUGCUCGACGGAGAUCGAUCUCUGCGAACGAACCUUUAUCCGACGAAUCUCUCACCCUUCUAUCGUUACGGAUUAAUUCGUAACACUCACUGGUGCAUAGUCUUUUCUAAAGCAGUUCUUAACUUGCAGCGGAAAGUACCAAGACGAAAUAAUAUGUAUGAAGACAUAUUAAAUCAGCUACAUAACCACUUAUUUAAUCUGCUUUCCCCAACACCUCCUCUGCUCCGGCCACGGUCCACCUGCACAUUAAAAAAACAAUAUGCAGGGCUGAGUACUUGAUAUACUCAGUGGGCUCAUUGCCGAAAACAUUUCUCUUUUAGUUGUCAGUCGAACUUGAGUGAGCACGGGGUUUUUUCUGAAAUCACUUCCCCGGUCACUAAAACUUUUAUCUCAUUAAAAAAGGUAGACUGCGUAGUCAUAUAACUUCUCAUGAAAUACCAUAUCUGAUCUGUGUGAACCGAAAAUGUGGCCACAUUCCACGACGGUCACUGGACCGGCCAACGCUAGCGCUAACACACGGUCCCUAUGUGUACACUAGUCCGAGUAGGGUUUGCGGCCCUACUGAGACCCGAAUUCGAUUUAACUGGUUUGGCAUAGCCAACAGAUAGGCAAUCAUAAUAAAACAAGGCAUGACAACUCAUCUCAAAAUAUUCACAUUUUCACAUAAAACACAUUUUGAAAGAAAAGCCCACCUGAUAUGCUUAUUCCUCACUUUAAUUACUAGUGUUGGCAUCACUCUGCCCUCGGAUAAAAUUUCCUUUGAAAAUAAAUAGUGUAACACACUAAUUAGUAUUUGAACUAUUUCUCCUUAAAAUAAUGCAUGCAUCCUAUGGCAUAGCACCUUUAUCUUUAUUCGUGUCCCAUAGGUUCUCUAGUCCUUUCUCGGGCUUCACUACGUUGUAAGAUUUAUUUCUCCGCUUUAACCAUACCCAGAAAAUUCUAUUAUCUUUAAAAUAAACACUUGGGUGCUUAUUUAAUAAAGUAUGGAUUUUUGUUGGAAAAUCACCUUCUAGAUCUUUUCUUUGAAUUUUUCUUAACUACUUUGGAAUACUUACCUUGACUAAAAUAGAAGUCUGCUUUAACCAUCUACUGAAUUUUAUAUUGACACGCUACAUUUCCUUCCUCCCGUGGCUUCUUCCUCGCUUCACAUUUCUAUUUCCCAAUUAGGAGCCCUAAUUGAAAGAAGAAACAUAGCAGCAGCGCCUCCGAUCAUUUCCCAAAUCUCUCACUCCUCGACUUCUCCGGCGAGCUCGCGCUCAGCAUCGCCGGUUUCUGGCCUCACCUUGCUCCAGGGUCAGCACUCGCUCCUCAUCUCUUACGGAGACUUAGCACCGUCGCAUUCCCUCCGUCGUUACCAUCACUGUCAACGUCGGCUCUGGUCGCCCGCGAGGAACGCUGCCUCCGGCUCAUCGGUGUUCUCUAUCUCUCCGUCGAGUCUUCUCACCCGGCGGAAUCACCGAUAGGGAAAGGACGCAUCGCCUUCUCCCUCCAUCUCCUUCUUUGUUUCUCCGUCACGCGUGGAAGCUCCGGGGUCGCCGUUACACUCACGCCAUCAACCUCGGCGAGCAGAACUGCUGCUUGCCUGCGCCGUCAGCCUCGCGUCAGCAUUUGUUCGACGCCGGACAGCCCGUCGCCUAAGCUAAGUUUGUUAUCCUAUUACUUAGCUCGUUAUGUGGUUCUUUAAUGGGCAGCAGUUACGUGAUGUGUGGAGGCUUUGUGAAAUUGUGUUGCUCCUGAUUGUUAAUCCUAGAUGGAUUUCCCUUGGCAUAUUUUAGCUCACUGGAAUGAGCACUUGUUGCAUUCACUUUAAAGCUACAUCUUGCUAUAUUCUGGACUAAUUGUUGGUGACUUGAUAUCUCUAUUGAGCAGGAGGGUAUGGUGGUGUUUACCUGUUGUAGUUUGGACUGAGAUUUCUGAGCCUUUGAAACACUGCAGCUCCUCUUGCUCUUUCUCCCUCUCGACUCACUACUCUAAAUGCUGGAGGAUUUUCCCUCUUUGAAAUGGUGAAUUCGACAGCCUGUGGUGGUGGCUGAGGAGUGCAGGCUGCUGCAGUGAGUGGCGGCUGAUCUGAGGAUUAUGUCGUUGCCUUUGGCCGACGACCGAUCGAAGACGCGGCGUGGCUAUGGCUCGGCUCGAUGGACAGGCACUUGCUUUUUCCUCUUAAACACUUGUACAUCCGCAUUGGUAACUUAGUCGCCUUGAUGUAUGUAAUAAACUUAGCUAGAAUGAAAUUAGGUUCCUAAUUCUCUUCUUGUAUUAUUUCAAAAGUUUUCAUUUGAGAAGCAAUGAAGAGUGCAAAUUUCUUUU